rnacentral:ncRNA from 1 species
UAGAACAAUGUAUGUAAGGGAAGUCGGCAAGUCAGAUCCGUAACUUCGGGAUAAGGAUUGGCUCUAAGGGCUGGGUCGGUCGGGCUGGGGUGCGAAGCGGGGCUCGAGCCGCGGCUGGGGGAGCAGUCGCGCCGUCGCCCUCCUCUCGCCACCAUUGGAAGUUCGUUGUGCAGCCCAUCUCGCGGUAUAUCGUGCGUGGUCUCGCAAGGGGCUGCGUGCGGGGGUUCGUCCGUGGGCCGAAGGAGGACCGGGGGUGGGUUCUCGCGACGGUACUCGCCGGCCCAGUUCGCGCUGGGUCACCAGCGGGUCGCAUCGGCCGGCGCCUAGUAGCUUACUUAGAACAGGUGCGGACCAGGGGGAAUCCGACUGUUUUAAUUCAAACAAAGGACCGAGGUGGGUGUUGGCGCAAUGUGAUUUCUGCCCAAUGCUCUGAAUGUCAAAGUGAAUAAAUUCAAUGAAGUGCUGGUAAACGGAGGGAGUAACUAUGACUCUCUUACGGAGUCCUUAGCCUUAGUAAGGGAGAUAACGAGGUAGCCCUAAAGCAGGGCUCUUCCAAUCCCUCCCUGUAUGUCACCUGUUUUCAGGUGUCGCUAACGAUGCAAACCAAACGGGAGUUACCACGGUACUAGUCCGUACGCAAAGAGAGUCCUGCAGAUGGUGACAGCUGUUGAUCAUUAAACGGAAGGCGGCAGUCGGUCCUGGAAUAUGGGGCUUUUGGUCAAGCAUGAAAAUGUGAGGGAGGCUCCUCCAGACUCAAUGAUUUGCUGCAGGGCUCUUGUAAAUGAAUCCUGACCUUGACAGGAAGCCAAUUAGAGAAUGAUGGCUCGAACGCAUCCCUGGCUUUGGCUGGGAGGGGGAGUUGUCCUGGGAGACGGCUGAUGAAACUGUCCUACUGGCAUCUGUCUGAUCACAGAGCGGCUGUGGUGAAACGUUUAAUCACGCGUCCCCUGUAUAUUUAGCUAACUCUAAACCGCGAAGGUUUGAAUUGAAUGCUGGCUUCGGCUGGACCCGCUAACAGUGGAGCACUAAAUAGAGAUGGAAUGUGCUUAGCGGUUAUGGACACUGCCAGGUCUCACGUCCGCCUGGGUGCGGGACUCUACACAUUCUAUGUGGGAGCUCUUCUUGCCGCCCCUCUCCUGAUGCGCACUGCAUGUUUGUGGGGAACCUGGUGCUAAAUCACUCGUAGACGACCUGAUUCUGGGUCAGGGUUGCGUACGUAGCAGAGCAGCACACUCGCUGCGAUCUAUUGAAAGUCAGCACUCGGUCCAAGCUUUU